AGGUGACCUAUUUUCCAGCACUUUAAACUGCAUUUUCUUCUCUCACUUCAUUGUGAAUGCUUCUCACUGUACACCAAUAAUGAUUUCAGUCCUCUGUGAGAAGUUUAAAACUUCAGACUCAGUGCUAAGUACAAACAAUCCAUUUGAACACAGCUCUCUGAAGUAUCACUCCAGGUAUGAAGGGAUGGAGGAGAAAACUUUGAGCUUUGACUGCGUGGCAACAGAUGCACCAAAAUCCAUGCAGGAGUGAAAUCCUGCUGGGGUCAUCACUGGAAUUCAGAGACAGCUGACUCCCGUUGAAAACCUGAGAAUAUUUUGCAUUUGUUUGCUGUUUUGCUCAUGUCUGCAUCAAGGCAGACAGGCAGUGUGGUUAUUGGCCCUGGACCCCUUCAGAGC